GACGUCUCUACCCUAUGCUUUGCAAGCG
rnacentral:sRNA from 1 species